AAAAUCUUUUUUUUUUUCGAAAAUCGCGAGAGUCCCCAAAGGAGAAGGCUUCACAUUGAAACGAAAAGGAGAAGCGAAAACGAAAACGAAGGAAAGGCAGCGCAAUAAGGUCUUCACCUGCACACAGCACCUUUAAAGACCUGACGCUGAAAACCCGCCACUUGGAGGCCAUGAAAGCGUGCUAUUUAUGGAUAGAAGAAGUAAAAGGAGUCCCAAUCAAUUUAAACAUCAAUUCAACAUCUUGCGGUGGGUGCUAAAGGAAGCUGGCCGAGAGGAGGGCACCCAAGAAGGGCUUCGGGGGAAUCGCUUUUAACGGAAGGAAAAGAGAAGCCAACCCGACCGAAUCAUGAAACAUUCAAAUAUUUCCAUACACAAGGACAUGAUGGAAUUCGGAUAACUGCAACCGAGAGCCACGUACAGAAAUAGAAUUAGGACCUUGUUGCCGAGUAUUUCAUUUCGCGGUUAUAAAGCGCGUUAAAAAUCAUGAAUCCAAGAGAUAUUUAUAGAGCGCGUAAAUGAAAGCACACUUCCGAACGAAGCAACUCUGAUACAUAGCACCCAAACCAAACUGUUCCCAGCGGAUCAGUAAGGACCAAGAGGAGGAGGCGGAC